rnacentral:lncRNA from 1 species
GUUGAUAGAGGCUUCAGUUUUGACUUAGCCAGAAUCAGGUGUACCAUAUGUUGUUUAUAGCUGUAAGCGGCCCAAUUUGCCCGGGCCCAUCAGAAGCAAUAAAACAAAAUAAUAAUAAUAAACCACAAAAUUAAAUAGUCUAAAAACAAUCCGUUUACAAUCUUUACUAGUCCAUACAAAAUAAAACCAAAUAAAUAAUCUAAGUCCCUUUAAACGGUUCAUGACCCAAUAACAGACCAAGCCUUAAGACCCAAAACAUUAAAACCCAAAUCCCAGCCCACUCCUAAAGCAGCCCAGAUGGCCCAAAUUUCGGCGCCAGGAGCUGAAACCCUAGGACCAAGUUGCGCCGCAGCCUCGCAUGGAAUCGAUCUCCACGUGUGCCACCACCUCCAGCUGGCUCCUCCUGCAACAGAUUAACAAACUAUAGCAAACAACUCAUGGACAGCAAAAAGAGAAUAGCGGAAGGAUUUAGGGGGUUUCAUUUUAUUUUCUUCUUUUUUAUUUUUUUAUUUUUAUUUUUCCUGACUCGGUUAUAAAAGGGAACCGAUUGUAAUUUAAGGGGGGAUCUUUUUUUUUGGGGCAGAAAAAUACACGCAUAUUUUCGCAUACAAAUCAGUUCCAAAGAGUGUGAAUAAAGAGCAGUUUCAAGUGGUAAUUUGAAAUAUCAUUUUUCUUUUCAUUUUGCUAUUAUCCCUUUGAUUUUCAUUAUUAUAUGAGUAAAAAAAAAUAAAGGAGAGGGAGGAUACUUAUCGUGAUAAAGGCCCUUGAAUCCUUGUUUGCUUUGAAGAAAUCGAAGCUCAAAUAGGGAUUGUGUGGUUUAAGAAUGGCAAAACCCUCGGAUUAGUGGUCGAACAGGGUCGAUUAGGCCUUUGUGCGCUGCCGUUCGCUGAUUAUGGAGGCGAAGUGGUGGUUGAGUGAGGAUUUAGGUUUGGCCGAAUGAAGAAAGGAGAUAGGCUUUAGGUUUUUUUUUAUUUGCUUUUAAGUGGCUGAAUGUUAGUUUUAGGGUUUUUUUGUACAAAGUAUGAAACGACGUCGUUUAGGCACGAGAGGAUCCGCGCACUGACCCAUUUCGUGGCCCGGAUCCGAGCCUCUUUACAUUAAAUGGUUAAUUUCGCACAUGGUCCC